GGGAGUAUGCUGGAACUGGCAUACAGGGCAAGCUCAAACCUUGUUGACAAUAGUCGUGUGGGUUCGAAUCCCACUACUCCCA
rnacentral:tRNA from 1 species